rnacentral:lncRNA from 1 species
GCCCAAAUCUGCCACCCUGGGUGCCCAGGAAACAGCUAUCCCUGCCUCCACCCUGGUCUGUUCUCUGCUUUCGUGUCAAGUAUUCACAAGUAACAUGAGGCUGCAUCCAAGCCUCCAGAAGGUUCAGUCAGGAAGGUGAGAACGUAAGAGUUCUCAGCAUAAUUUUGUUUAUAAGAGCAAAAGUGUAUUUGUUUACACAGUAGACACUAAGCCAAAGCAGAGGGAAACAUAUGCUCCAGACCACACCACUAACAAAGGCAAAUGUUCAUUAUCAGGCCACAGACAAACACACGUGCACUAUGUACACUAUAACCUUGUUUUUUAAAAGAUUUUUAGUAAGCCCCCCCACCCCCAAAAAGUAAUUUAUUACUGUUUUCUUAAUACAGUUUGAUCCUGUAUGUAAACUUGCCCUAUAAUCUUUACUACAAACCUUCUAUAACUGUUGUAACCACUCAAGCUGACGUUCAUUAUCAUCUUUAUUUUUUCGGAACACUCAAUUUCCAAGAAAAAGAAAUAGAAAGUACUUUCUGUUCAUCCAUUCCCAAUAAUGUUUAUAAACUCUCUGCUUAGGGGUUCUAGUUACGUAGGUUUGGAGAAGGAAUCUAUUAUUCUUUGCAAGUAUUAAUCAGUGACCUUUUUUCCUCUUUUUCUCCUUUCUCCUGUUUCCUUGAAAACUCACCUCAACGGGUAAAAAAUUUAUAAACUUUCAGAAAUGGCCACAAUUGGUAGAUGCUCAGUGUAGACUCCUUAAAGAAGAUAGAAGUUAGAUGUCUUACUCACUAGCUAUCUAACCUCUCAGACCUGAAGAGUAUCUCAGGAAUGAGUAUGUUGAAGUGUUGGGACAAGCCUCACUUCUCCAUUUGCAUUUCUAGAGCCAGGAACUGAAGCUGAAUGCAGGAUGUCUGUCUCAUGCUGUCAGAUGCCACUCCCUGCAUAAGCCAGACAAAGAGAAGUGGUCAUAAUGGAACCCUCUAUGAGGAAGAUGAAAAGCAAACGUCACUGAGGUCAGACAGAAAACCAGCUGAGGAGGAAGAGGGUUGGCUAGAGAUAUGCAGACUUUGGAAGAAGACAUCAGUCAGAGAUGCAGAGUUGUUUUCUGAGUUUACAGGUAAAAUCCCAUGAAAGGCAAACUUGUCCUUUGAGGCUACUCUCUAUGACAACCUGCUAGCUACAUUUGUACACCGCAGAAUCACAAAGUCCGCUAUGUUGUAUGUUGCUAUUCAGAAACCGAGGUGUGAAGUUAUUUUAAAUCUUCUGAAAGUGUUACAACCAACACAGGUUGCACCAGAAGUGUCUUUGUUCGGAAUAAUUGCCAAGAAUACCAGUGAAUUCAUUGUCUUAAAUAAAACAAUUCGAGAGCCUUAAAAAUCCUGAAGG